rnacentral:rRNA from 1 species
AUGAACGCUGGCGGCGUGCCUAAUACAUGCAAGUCGAGCGAACAGACGAGGAGCUUGCUCCUCUGACGUUAGCGGCGGACGGGUGAGUAACACGUGGAUAACCUACCUAUAAGACUGGGAUAACUUCGGGAAACCGGAGCUAAUACCGGAUAAUAUAUUGAACCGCAUGGUUCAAUAGUGAAAGACGGUUUUGCUGUCACUUAUAGAUGGAUCCGCGCCGCAUUAGCUAGUUGGUAAGGUAACGGCUUACCAAGGCAACGAUGCGUAGCCGACCUGAGAGGGUGAUCGGCCACACUGGAACUGAGACACGGUCCAGACUCCUACGGGAGGCAGCAGUAGGGAAUCUUCCGCAAUGGGCGAAAGCCUGACGGAGCAACGCCGCGUGAGUGAUGAAGUUCUUCGGAUCGUAAAACUCUGUUAUUAGGGAAGAACAAAUGUGUAAGUAACUAUGCACGUCUUGACGGUACCUAAUCAGAAAGCCACGGCUAACUACGUG